AUUUAUAUAGCUUAUAUAGAGCAUAGUAUUGAAGCUACUAAGGUAAUUUUUUUUGUAAAUA
rnacentral:tRNA from 1 species